CUGCGGUCCGGUGAGCACGUGUUCAACUCGUUACCCGAUUUUUGUAGCAACUUUACGCGUUCCUUGAGAUUAAAUGAUGGUGUUAUUAUUAGCAUCGGUCUGCCAUCGAUUGUAUUUAAUAAUAAUUAGCGAGUAUAGCGUCAGUGCAUGAUUUAUCACGAGUGGUCCCACUUAGAAUUGAGUGAUUUUAUGAUAUGCGCGGGUGAGUGCCGUCAACGACGGCCUUCAGAAAUCUUUCUUCAAAUUGGCUAUAGAAAUAGAACGGGAACUCGCAGGAAGGCCAUUUUUUCUUCAAAUUGGCUAUAGAAAUUGAACGGGAACUCGCAGGAGGGCCAUUUAUUCUUCAAAUUGGCUAUAGAAAUAGAACGGGAACUCGCAGGAGGGCCAUUUUUUCUUCAAAUUGGCUAUAGAAAAUGAACGGGAACACGCAGGAGGGCCAUUUUUUCUUCAAAUUGGCUAUAGAAAUUGAACGGGAACUCGCAGGAGGGCCAUUUAUUCUUCAAAUUGGCUAUAGAAAUAGAACGGGAACUCGCAGGAAGGCCAUUUUUUCUUCAAAUUGGCUAUAGAAAUUGAACGGGAACUCGCAGGAGGGCCAUUUAUUCUUCAAAUUGGCUAUAGAAAUAGAACGGGAACUCGCAGGAGGGCCAUUUUUUCUUCAAAUUGGCUAUAGAAAUUGAACGGGAACUCGCAGGAGGGCCAUUUAUUCUUCAAAUUGUAAGUAUUGUAAGUCUGAAUCAUCCCUAUGACAUAGUUUUGCAAUUUUCUCACGGGAAACCCAUAAAAAUUGCAUUUUUGUGUUUUGAGAUACUGAUUUUUCUUGUUUUAGGGCUAUAGAAAUUUAACGGAAACUUGCAGGAGGGCCAUUUUUGCAUCAAAUUAUAAGUAUUGUAAUUCUGUAUCAUCUCUAUGACUUAGUUUUGCAAUUUUCUUACGGGAAAGCCUUACAAAUUGAAUUUUGUGUUUCGAGACGCUGAUUUUUCUUGUUUUAGAGCUCUAGAAAUUGAACAGGAUAUCGCUUGUAUACUUGUAUAACAGGAUAUGCUUGUAGUAAUGGGUUCAGUUCUGUUAUUAUACCACGUUUUUUUAUGUUUCAGGGGGAGAAUUAUUUAAACGAACCAUAAAUAAGGUAAAUCAUAUUUGAAGAAAAAUAUUUAAUGAAAUGUUUUGUUAUGUUUUAUUAUCUUAUGUGACGCCACGGGCCAGCAACCUCGGCACAGAGCGAUAUGACGCGGUGGGUCAGAAUGAUUGUUACUAUUCUAGUUUUGCUUAGUUUACCUUGCGCUCUCGUGUACACGCGUUUUAUUUUUACGAAUGUUUACUUGUAUGUAUUUUUAAAAAUUAUUAAUAAAACACUUAUUAUAUUUAUAA